rnacentral:rRNA from 1 species
GAUGAACGCUGGCGGCAUGCCUAAUACAUGCAAGUCGAACGCACAGCGAAAGGUGCUUGCACCUUUCAAGUGAGUGGCGAACGGGUGAGUAACACGUGGACAACCUGCCUCAAGGCUGGGGAUAACAUUUGGAAACAGAUGCUAAUACCGAAUAAAACUCAGUGUCGCAUGACACAAAGUUAAAAGGCGCUUUGGCGUCACCUAGAGAUGGAUCCGCGGUGCAUUAGUUAGUUGGUGGGGUAAAGGCCUACCAAGACAAUGAUGCAUAGCCGAGUGGAGAGACUGAGCGGCCCCAUGUGGACUGAGACACGGCACAAACUCCUACGGGAGGCUGCAGUAGGGAAUCUUCCACAAUGGGCGAAAGCCUGAUGGAGCAACGCCGCGUGUGUGAUGAAGGCUUUCGGGUCGUAAAGCACUGUUGUAUGGGAAGAACAGCUAGAAUAGGGAAUGAUUUUAGUUUGACGGUACCAUACCAGAAAGGGACGGCUAAAUACGUGCCAGCCGCCGCCGUAA